GGUACUACUAUCUUUUCAUAAAGAAAAACCAAAAGCCAUAAAGUCAAAAUAAAUGGUGCAUAGAAGUGUCAGGUUUUUUGAAAUCAUACAAAAGAUUCCUCUUAUCUCUCACAUUAAUUAUCAAUCCACCUUUUUUUCAAAAAAGAAAACAAAAUGAUCAAAUAAAAAAAGAUAGUAAAGAUAUUAAAAGGAAAUAAAAUCAUAAAGGAGAUCUCAUAAUUUUCUCUCUUAGAGAACUCACGGUUCUCUUUCUAUUUCAUAACCAUCACUUUAUUUCUCUUUUUUUUUAACACAAAAUAGUAAGAGGUUAAAGAAAAGGAACAUGGCAGCAAAGAGGAACUCACGGCGGCUCACAUGGAGAUCAUAGCUGCCAGAGCUUCUCCGACGCGGUGGCCGGAGGUGAAAAAUUCCCGAAUGCAAUUUUUUUUACAUAUUUGGGUUCGGUUUCUUCUCCUCUUUUCAAAUAUCAAAUUAGUUUUAUCAGAAAAUAAAUUCACAAGCACAGAUCUAAAGAGAAAGUGCUUGUGAUUUUCGUUCUAAACACAAGUAAAUAUCACAGGGAAUAGCAAUCAAUGGAUGGAAUCGUUAUCAGAGACUGAUUCUCAACCUUUUGGUGCAAAGAAAUGAGAGAACGGCGGUGGUUUAAUUUUCCGGCGCGGAGGUGGCGAUUUCCAGUGGUGGUCCAGUGAGGAUUUCCGGCGAGGGAAGGUUCAGAAAAACAUGGAUGAAAUCUUGAAGAUUAUGGAGCUUGGAAGAUUCAAAGGAAGACAUAAGCAUGGACAUGGAGAAAUAUUGAAGAAAAUGGUGUGGACUUGGAAUAUUUUGAAUUUUUUCUUGGGUAAACAUAAUGAUGUAACUUUGAGAAUCCGUCCACCUUGUAAUUUGGAAUGAGUUAUGAACUUGAAUGGACUUUCUUGGAUUUGAAGCUUCGAAAUUUGUAUGUUGAAUGAUCAUAAAAUUGAAACUCUUACUUGAAUGGAAA